rnacentral:rRNA from 1 species
UGGGGAAUAUUGGACAAUGGGGGGAACCCUGAUCCAGCCAUGCCGCGUGUGUAAAGAAGGCCUUAUGGUUGUAAAGCACUUUAAGCGAGGAGGAGGGUACUGGUAUUAAUACUACCAGCUACUGGACGUUACUCGCAGAAUAAGCACCGGCUAACUCUGUGCCAGCAGCCGCGGUAAUACAGAGGGUGCGAGCGUUAAUCGGAUUUACUGGGCGUAAAGCGUGCGUAGGCGGCUAAUUGAGUCGGAUGUGAAAUCCCCGAGCUUACCUUGGGAAUUGCAUUCGUUACUGGUUAGCUAGAGUGUGGGAGAGGAUGGUAGAAUUCCAGGUGUAGCGGUGAAAUGCGUAGAGAUCUGGAGGAAUACCGAUGGCGAAGGCAGCCAUCUGGCCUAACACUGACGCUGAGGUACGAAAGCAUGGGGAGCAAACAGG